UACGUAGGGGGCGAGCGUUGUCCGGAUUUAUUGGGCGUAAAGAGCGUGUAGGCGGUUCGGUAAGUCUGUCGUGAAAUCCUGAGGCUCAACCUCGGGCGUGCGAUGGAUACUGCCGGGCUAGAGGAUGGUAGAGGCGAGUGGAAUUCCUGGUGUAGAGGUGAAAUUCGUAGAUAUCAGGAGGAACACCAGUGGCGAAGGCGGCUUCCUGGACACCAACUGACGCUGAGACGCGAAAGCGUGGGGAGCAAACAGG
rnacentral:rRNA from 1 species